rfam:Triticum aestivum genome assembly, contig: Triticum_aestivum_CS42_TGACv1_scaffold_640747_T_2BS-0.082129_7AL-0.071307
GAGGUACUCCUUCUGUCCGGAAAUACUUGUCAUUAAAAUGGAUAAAAAGGGAUGUAUCUAGAUGUAUUUUAGUUCUAAAUACAUCUUCUUUUAUCCAUUUUGAUGACAAGUAUUUUCGGACGGAGGGAGUAUAAA